GGGCGGUUAGCUCAGUUGGGAGAGCACCUCGUUUACACCGAGGGGGUCGGCGGUUCGAGCCCGUCACUGCCCACCA
rnacentral:tRNA from 1 species